AACGCGAAGAACCUUACCUGGGCUCGAAAUGUAGUGGACUGGGGUAGAAAUAUCCCUUUCUCGCAAGAGACUGCUAUAUAGGUGCUGCAUGGCUGUCGUCAGCUCGUGUCGUGAGAUGUUGGGUUAAGUCCCGCAACGAGCGCAACCCUUAUCCCUAGUUGCCAUCGGGUCAAGCCGGGCACUCUAGUGAAACCGCCCCGGAUAACGGGGAGGAAGGUGGGGAUGACGUCAAGUCCUCAUGGCCUUUAUGUCCAGGGCUACACACGUGCUACAAUGGUCGGUACAAACCGUCGCAAACCCGCGAGGGGGAGCUAAUCGGAAAAAGCCGACCUCAGUUCGGAUUGGAGUCUGCAACUCGACUCCAUGAAGCUGGAAUCGCUAGUAAUGCUAUAUCAGAACGAUAGCGUGAAUACGUUCCCGGGCCUUGUACACACCGCGCAUA
rnacentral:rRNA from 1 species